rnacentral:rRNA from 1 species
GACGAACCGUGCGAACGUUGUUCGGAAUCAUUGGGCUUAAAGGGCGCGUAGGCGGGCCCGCAAGUCAGGGGUGAAAUCCCACGACAUCCACGGAGAGCUCUCGAUACUGCGGGCCUCGAGGGGGGUAGGGGCGUGCGGAACUUCCGGUGGAGCGGUGAAAUGCGUAGAGAUCGGAAAGAACACCAACGGCGAAAGCACUCUCUGGGCCGACACUGA